rnacentral:lncRNA from 1 species
CGGGGCUGCUGUGGGAGAGUUCUGUUGCUGCGGCGGGGCCUGCACGUUGACUGUGGGAAACUCGGAAACAAGCUCACAUCUUCCUGUGGGAAACCUUCUAGCAACAGGAUGAGUCUGCAGUGGACUGCAGUUGCCACCUUCCUCUAUGCGGAGGUCUUUGUUGUGUUGCUUCUCUGCAUUCCCUUCAUUUCUCCUAAAAGGUAUGGCCUAUGGAGCAAGCAGGCGAGUUAGGCAGGAGGGUGCCUGUGCCCUAGCCCUGGGACUGGUGUGUGCAGCUGGUGGACCCUGGAAUUGGGACCCGAUGGAACAGAUGGCAGAAGAUUUUCAAGUCCCGGCUGGUGGAGUUGUUAGUGUCCUAUGGCAACACCUUCUUUGUGGUUCUCAUUGUCAUCCUUGUGCUGUUGGUCAUCGAUGCCGUGCGCGAAAUUCGGAAGUAUGAUGAUGUGACGGAAAAGGUGAACCUCCAGAACAAUCCCGGGGCCAUGGAGCACUUCCACAUGAAGCUUUUCCGUGCCCAGAGGAAUCUCUACAUUG